UACGAAGGGGGCUAGCGUUGCUCGGAAUCACUGGGCGUAAAGCGCACGUAGGCGGGUUCUUAAGUCGGUGGUGAAAUCCUGGAGCUCAACUCCAGAACUGCCUCCGAUACUGAGAGCCUCGAGUCCGGGAGAGGUGAGUGGAACUGCGAGUGUAGAGGUGAAAUUCGUAGAUAUUCGCAAGAACACCAGUGGCGAAGGCGGCUCACUGGCCCGGUACUGACGCUGAGGUGCGAAAGCGUGGGGAGCAAACAGG
rnacentral:rRNA from 1 species